GACGAACGCUGGCGGCGUGCCUAAUACAUGCAAGUCGAGCGAGCGGAACUAACAGAUUUACUUCGGUAAUGACGUUAGGAAAGCGAGCGGCGGAUGGGUGAGUAACACGUGGGGAACCUGCCCCAUAGUCUGGGAUACCACUUGGAAACAGGUGCUAAUACCGGAUAAGAAAGCAGAUCGCAUGAUCAGCUUUUAAAAGGCGGCGUAAGCUGUCGCUAUGGGAUGGCCCCGCGGUGCAUUAGCUAGUUGGUAAGGUAAAGGCUUACCAAGGCGAUGAUGCAUAGCCGAGUUGAGAGACUGAUCGGCCACAUUGGGACUGAGACACGGCCCAAACUCCUACGGGAGGCAGCAGUAGGGAAUCUUCCACAAUGGACGCAAGUCUGAUGGAGCAACGCCGCGUGAGUGAAGAAGGUUUUCGGAUCGUAAAGCUCUGUUGUUGGUGAAGAAGGAUAGAGGUAGUAACUGGCCUUUAUUUGACGGUAAUCAACCAGAAAGUCACGGCUAACUACGCG
rnacentral:rRNA from 1 species